CUUCAUAUUUCUACAGUAUGAAAGAGACGCAGCACAGCUAGGCCACAACCCACACUGCCAAGAGAUGCAGAUGCUGGCGAUGCAGGUCCUUCUCCAUCGAACACCCCUCCACUAAGACGACCAUCACAGGGCUCGGAUAGUCUCCAUAAGAUGGGUACCAAGAGACGCCGUCUUUAGGCGGAAUCUCCACCCGCAUCCUCACCACCACAACGGCGCAUCUCUACUGUGUCGGCCCAGCCACCACAAGCCAUUUUGGCCAGUCCACAAAGCGAGGAACCACAAUCCAAUCAGCUGUCUGAACCACCCAUCAUGCCCAAGGAUACCCAGCAGGAAACUGACUUGCAGGAAUCGUACACACUACACCUGCAAGCGAUUGAUCCAAACCAGCUAACCACGCUGCAGGACAUAACCCAACAACCCCAAACAUUCCACAGCCCCCAAUUGAGCCCAACACCACCCCAGCCACAAAUGGGCCCAGAGAUUUGGUCCAGUGGGGCCACACAACAGGCACAACACUAUGCCUAACAAGGGAGAAAGAGAAGGCUCUUGUAUUUUCAUUAAAAAAAUUCUUUGCGACCUGUGCUCAAUCGCCCUAUGCUUUUGACAACACUAUGCCUGUCUGAACACCCGCAGCCAAUACCUUGCCAGUCUGCCCCAUCAUCUGCCUAGACUCAGUCGGAACUCAGGCAGACUGAUUGUUCAAGUUGGCAGAGUAGCAAAUUCUAUGGAGCAGAUGAGGGCAGACAACAGCCAAAUGCAUGCAAAUUUACAAAGAAUAAUGGAUGACCAACAGCGGCAUCAACAAGCCCUCAUACAAAUUAUACAACAUAACCAAUUAAUAAACGAAAGCCUCUCCCGAGUCAUUGCCAACAACACUGCCGCAACUACACAACUCACAGCAAGCCUCAACAACCUGAGCAAAAGCAUAAAUGUGUUGGCAUCCCACCAACUAAGCUCAAGCUCAGGAACAGCCACACCUAGCCAGACCCCAGUUACCUCCCCAGUUAGACGAUCCAGCAGAACCAGGACCAAUGAGCCAUCCCAAUACUCGGCACCCAGCAAACAAAGAAAUAAUCAAGGCUGCAGCAACAACUACAGUAUGUUCUUAGAAAAUUACUAA